CAUAAGCGGAGGAAAAGAAACCAACAGGGAUUGCCUCAGUAACGGCGAGUGAAGCGGCAAAAGCUCAAAUUUGAAAUCCCCCGGGAAUUGUAAUUUGAAGAGAUUUGGGUCCGGCCGGCGGGGGUUAAGUCCACUGGAAAGUGGCGCCACAGAGGGUGACAGCCCCGUGAACCCCUUCAACGCCCUCAUCCCAGAUCUCCAAGAGUCGAGUUGUUUGGGAAUGCAGCUCUAAGUGGGUGGUAAAUUCCAUCUAAAGCUAAAUACCGGCGAGAGACCGAUAGCGAACAAGUACAGUGAUGGAAAGAUGAAAAGCACUUUGAAAAGAGAGUGAAAAAGUACGUGAAAUUGUUGAAAGGGAAGGGCUUGCAAGCAGACACUUAACUGGGCCAGCAUCGGGGCGGCGGGGAGCAAAACCACCGGGGAAUGUACCUUUCGAGGAUUAUAACCCCGGCCUUUAUUCCCAUACCACCCCGAGGCCUGCAAUCUAAGGAUGCUGGCGUAUCGCGGGACC
rnacentral:rRNA from 1 species